rnacentral:rRNA from 1 species
GACGAACGCUGGCGGCGUGCUUAACACAUGCAAGUCGAACGGAAAGGCCCUGCUUUUGUGGGGUGCUCGAGUGGCGAACGGGUGAGUAACACGUGAGUAACCUGCCCUUGACUUUGGGAUAACUUCAGGAAACUGGGGCUAAUACCGGAUAGGAGCUCCUGCUGCAUGGUGGGGGUUGGAAAGUUUCGGCGGUUGGGGAGGGACUCGCGGCUUAUCAGCUUGUUGGUGGGGUAGUGGCUUACCAAGGCUUUGACGGGUAGCCGGCCUGAGAGGGUGACCGGCCACAUUGGGACUGAGAUACAGCCCGGACUCCUACGGGAGGCAGCAGUGGGGAAUAUUGCACAAUGGGCGGAAGCCUGAUGCAGCAACGCCGCGUGCGGGAUGACGGCCUUCGGGUUGUAAACCGCCUUCGCCUGUGACGAAGCGUGAGUGACGGUAAUGGGUAAAGAAGCACCGGCUAACUACGUG